ACUGGGAUUGGCACAGGAGUGUCUUUAGUCAGUGGUCAAGAGGAACAUGUUACAUUAGAGGAGAACUGUGUAGGAACUCCUCCAGUCAUUGGGAUUGUGGGUGAUUCUUCGUCGACACGUACUAUAGCCAUGUCCACAGUGUUAGGUUCGUACAGAGUGCCUCUGGUCAGUUAUUUUGCCACAUGCUCCUGUUUGAGUGACCGACAGAAGUUCCCAUCUUUCUUUAGGACGAUCCCAAGUGAUGCUUUUCAGGUCCGUGCUAUGAUUCAGAUUCUAAAACACUAUGGAUGGACUUGGGCAGGUCUGCUCAUCAGUAAUGAUGAUUAUGGAAUCCACG